GGAGAGGUGCGAGAGCUGGUUUAAUCGGCGCGACUGGAAAUCGCGUUUCCGACGAAAGUUGGAACGAGGGUUCGAAUCCCUCCCUCUCCGCCA
rnacentral:tRNA from 1 species